rnacentral:siRNA from 1 species
CGGUUCAGGCGUCGGUAUACGUCU